rnacentral:rRNA from 1 species
UACCAGCACCCCGAGUGGUCGGGACGAUUAUUGGGCCUAAAGCAUCCGUAGCUUGUUCUGCAAGUCCUCCGUUAAAUCCACCUGCUCAACAGAUGGGCUGGCGGGGGGAUACUACAGGGCUAGGAGGCGGGAGAGGCAAACGGUACUCAGUGGGGUAGGGGUAAAAUCCUCUGAUCCACUGAAGACCACCAGUGGCGAAGGCG